UGCUAGAUUACAAACGGGUUUAGAAAGGCUUGAUUUCCUUGAUCAGCUAUUGACAGAAAGUUCCCUCGAGGGUGUCAUGGGGUUGAGCAAAACUGAAGUGAACUUGAAGAGGUUACUUGUAACUGCACCACAGCAGCAAAAUCAAGCAAAGCUUAUACAUUAUGUUGCCACUUUGCGGGAACUACUGGAGCAGUUGGCUGACGAGAGGAAUUCUGAUGGAUUACCAAGGGUUUCAAAAGCCAAGGUGAAUGAAUACGCUGAGAACAUUGAAACUGUUGCUGCCAAGUUAGCUGUGCCCAUGUCUGAUGUGCAUACACCCGAGGAACCUGUGGCUGAGAGUUCCAGCAGUGGCACUCCUAAAGCCGAAGAAAGUGUGAAUUCUGCUUCCGAAGGAUUGAGAAGAAGAUUUGGGGUCCAUUCAAACAAUGAGGAGAGAUCUCGAGAUACCAUUGAUUCUGAUCAAUCAUCAGCUGCAGUCAAACUGGAUGAUGCUGCACGGACACAUAUUGAGAAGCACAGGAAACUUCAGGAGGAUUUGACUGAUGAA
rnacentral:misc_RNA from 1 species